rnacentral:rRNA from 1 species
GAUGAACGCUGGCGGCGUGCUUAACACAUGCAAGUCGAACGAAGCUGCCUGGAGGAAGUUUUCGGAUGGAAUUUAGGUAGACUUAGUGGCGGACGGGUGAGUAACGCGUGGAUAACCUGCCUUAUACAGGGGGAUAACGGAGAGAAAUUUCCGCUAACACCGCAUAAGACCACAGCACCGCAUGGUGCAGGGGCAAAAUAUUUAUAGGUAUAAGAUGGAUCCGCGUCCGAUUAGCUAGUUGGUGAGGUAAAGGCCCACCAAGGCGACGAUCGGUAGCCGGCCUGAGAGGGUGAACGGCCACAUUGGGACUGAGACACGGCCCAAACUCCUACGGGAGGCAGCAGUGGGGAAUAUUGGACAAUGGGGGAAACCCUGAUCCAGCGACGCCGCGUGAGUGAAGAAGUAUUUCGGUAUGUAAAGCUCUAUCAGCAGGGAAGAAAAUGACG